CUCGACGUAGCUUCUUCACGCGGCAACCACUGCAAAGGUUAACUAACGAUCGAUGUGCUGCUGCGACCCAGAUUCGCUGCCCCUGCCGAUCGAUCGAUCGAUCUCUUCUGAAAACGAGCCCCCAUCUUUGAUUUGAUUUAUUUCAGCCAGGCUUUUGCUGCUUGUAUGUUUAUCCCUUUGCUGGCCGGCUGGCGAAUCUUGCUCCGGCGAUCACACGGAGCCAUUCAGAAUUGCUCGCCGGCGGCGAAUGAGCCGUUCUAACAGGCGUAGCUGCGUCAAACUGAAUUGCUUUUGCUUGGACGGAUCAGAGUCAGAGGUGCAGCGGCAGGGAAUUGCCAAUUGGGGAGGCUGCCACGCAAGGAACAUCCUUGGACGUCUCAGCCAGGCGUGCCGGAGACAAAAGAGACGGAGGAGACUUGGGUUGCGGCGCCACAUCGACGUCGAUGGGCCCCCCGGUUGAGAAGGACGAAACGGUCUGGGCACAAAACCGUUGGGAGCACGGAACGGUGCCGUGUGACUGUCAGUGGUAGUUUUGGGUCUUGAUAUCUGAAUCUGAAUGGAUGGAGCGAGAUUGUUAUCCCCCGCUUCCCCCUGUUCUUCAUCGAUGGCGUGCGCGGGGAACCAAACCAGCCUGCAUCGUCUCAGCGUCAGUAAACUUUCCUCUAAAAAUAAGAUUGUGCAGCACAUCACCGUGUGGUUGCUGCAAGCCACUUUAGUUCAAUUUGCUACCAUUCGGAUCUUACCUCACUCGCCUCAAAAAGUUUGCUAAAUAUACCAACAAAAACAUGGUCUCUCCACUCUCCGUCCACCAUCGACCAUGCCUACAAGCCAGAGAGCUCACCGCUCCUCCGUUUUACGGCCCAGCUUGUCCAGUGUGGUCACCAGCUGAGAAGAGCCUGCCCGUGCAUGACCACGGUGACCCAUUGAUCUGCUUGAAACCACUUUCUCACUGAAUCCUACUUCAGCUGGUUCUGCUUUCACUGAAUCCCAACAGUUCAGAGUUUCAGCUCACGAGCGACGGAGCGACGACUAGCUUGUUGCAGCUGACGAAUUUGUGGCGCCUGCCGCCUUCAAUGACAUACCAGAGGAUCUUCUGAGAGAUGAUGAGCUGAUCAACUCCCGAUGUGGUGAAGUUGACUCCACUAUCCAAUCAACAAGUUUCAGUGUAGCCAUUUUCCCCAUUCCUUCCAGACCAGGGUGGAGAUCAACAUUUUGCAGCAUGUGCAUGAACAAAAGGUGAAGUUGACUCCCUCGGUCGCCUUCUUCAUCCUCAUCCCACCAAGAACUCAGCUGUGCUGUCAGUAGAUUUUCUUUUGCCGACGGCUCUGGAUGCCAUAAGGAUGCAGGGGGCUCGAGCUAGAAACGGCGCGCGUGCAGCGAUUCGCCGAUUCGUCGAUCCUACCCAGCGCCGGCACGCCCUCUUCUGUAUACAGGAUUAUCGUCUCCGUGGAGCAGACGGCCGGCGUCUCCGUUCCAUUCGCACCGUCGCCCUCUCCGAUCACCAUGACGCCUGGACCUCGCGGCACGGUUGAAAGCUUCUGAUUUGGUUUCUGGGUUGAGGGGCAUGGAUGCGGUGUGCACGCUGAGGCGGCUCGGGUUUGGAAGAAGCCAUUCCUCCAUGGACAUUCCGAGGGCGCGGCGAGAAGGGCUCGGUCGGCGGUCCGGAGCCGCCAUGGCCGUCGCGGACAGAGCUUGCUCGUCUCCGGUCAGUCGAAAUUUUUUACAAAAUACCCUUUCGUCCAAUAUUUUACAUAAAAUCCCCUAAAUAAUUUACACAAAACCCCGUAAAUCGACGUUUUAGAUAAAAUAUUUUAGAUAAAACCCCCGUAUUGGAUCGUGAUUAUUAAUCGCGAUCCGAUUAUUUACGCAAAACCUCCGGAUCAGAUCGCGAUUAUUAAUCGCGAUCCGAUUGUUUACAUAAAAGUCCCUUAACGGGAAUAAUAGUUUGCGAAAUAGUCCCUCUCCGCACUCUGCCCCAUGGGCCAUGGCUGAUGCUCCCUUCCCGUCCGGCGACGGCGACGGCAGCCUCCUCUCGGCGAAAUAGACUCCAGCUAGUCCUCCAGCUCCCCCUUCCCUUACCAUGCGGGUUUCCGCCUUCGCACCCCGCUCCUACACGUCUAGCACCAUGGAUUUCAAAGUGGCCAGCUACCCACUACCGCCGCCGAGAAAAAGGUACAUGGUCGACGAGGAGGAGGAAAGCGUUGGAGCGGUCACAAGCAGGGGAUAGACUAGAUCGGACUGCGGCUUCGCGGCCAGAUCAAUCUAGAGUCUAUGCCCUCUCUCCCCUCCGGUGGCUUCCCCUCGCUUGCUCGUGCGACCGGCGCGGUAGGCGGAGGCGUUCCUCUUCUGCGGCGGCGACGGCAGAGGUGAUACGAUGUUAUUGCAGUGGCAGCUUGCUUAUGAGUUUGACCUAUUACUUUACAGAUGUUACUUCCAUUUCUCCAUCUCAAUGCUCAACCAUGAUUUAUCUGCUUCACUCACUUUCUACUUGAGCCAAUAGAUCUGCUGUUCACCACCACACAGUGACACAGAUGUAAUUGUUGAAUUCGAUAUCUUUGAAUCUGCUAAGAUUCUUUUCAUUCGUUGACACUAAAAUAGUACAGACUGAUCAUGCGAUUCAUGAACUGGGACCAAAUGACCAGCUACUCACACUUCUUACUUGAUAAAUAAAAAAUGAAUCCUAAGCUGUGCACAUGGUCUGGAAAGUUUUCUAAAGAGAUGAUACAAUUGGCUCAUUAAGUUCCUUUUUCUGAUUUGACCAAAAAUAUAAUUGGGUCCAAAAAAACUCUUGCAGAAGAUGACUCAAAUACCAAAUCAACAAAUUUUGGUAGUCAAUUUCUCGAUAACUUUUAGAUCGUGUUACAGAUCAACCUUUCACAGUAUCCACAUUGAUAGCAGUAGAAUGAUUUACAACUAAGCAUAAUUUAUUUCAUAGAAAUUUGAACUUAACUGAACUUAACAUCAGAAAACCAAUGCCUUGCUUGGUGCUCCUCAUCUCUUGUUCACCUCAGCACAUCUCAGAAGAUGGCCCUCCCUGCCUUGAGUGAUGGUGUCGCCCCAUCUUAGCAGCAAGGGUAGACGGCGAUGCAGCGCCUGCGUCGGGGAGGUGUGCACAUCAUCAGCAGCAGCAAGGCGAGGACGAUGGUAACAAGCAGCCCCAGCAGGUUGAACGCCGGCUCAUCAUCUUCUUGGCUGCAACACAGCUUGCCCAUGUUAGCUGUUAGAGGGGGAGGAGGAGAUGACUCUUGGUAGAAUGAGGAUGAAGGAGGGGUGGGACUUGGCUAAAGGCUUCUUUCUUGGCUUGUGGAAUUUCUUUAUGGCAAUGACUGGGGAUACAGGACAGUUAGAUCUAUCUAUAGCAAUUAAACUGUGGGCCGUCAACAUCAACUUGAAUUCUGGCUGUCUUACCUCAUCGGGCUCGGCUGGCCUCCAGCUUCUACGUUCUCUGCUGCCUGCUCCAGGAGUAGGACUGCUGCCCGCCGUUCCUCGGCCACCCCGGCCCCGGCGGCCAGCGGCCGCCGCCUUUCUGAUGCCGUCCUGGCCAGGUCCUCCAUGUGAAAUAACGUAGCUUACUGGUGCUGUACCCUGCUCAUCCUCUGCAGUGCAUAGCCCUAUCUGGAUGAAUAGAUUUCUGUUUCCAGUU